GACGAACGCUGGCGGCGUGCCUAAUACAUGCAAGUUGAGCGCUGAAGGAUGGUACUUGUACCCACUGGAUGAGCAGCGAACGGGUGAGUAACGCGUGGGGAAUCUGCCUUUGAGCGGGGGACAACAUUUUGAAACGAAUGCUAAUACCGCAUAAAAACUUUAAACACAAGUUUUAAGUUUGAAAGAUGCAAUUGCAUCACUCAAAGAUGAUCCCGCGUUGUAUUAGCUAGUUGGUGAGGUAAAGGCUCACCAAGGCGAUGAUACAUAGCCGACCUGAGAGGGUGAUCGGCCAAAUUGGGACUGAGACACGGCCCAAACUCCUACGGGAGGCAGCAGUAGGGAAUCUUCGGCAAUGGACGAAAGUCUGACCGAGCAACGCCGCGUGAGUGAAGAAGGUUUUCGGAUCGUAAAACUCUGUUGGUAGAGAAGAACGUUGGUGAGAGUGGAAAGCUCAUCAAGUGACGGUAACUACCCAGAAAGGGACGGCUAACUACGUG
rnacentral:rRNA from 1 species